AUACGUAGGUGGCGAGCGUUGUCCGGAUUUACUGGGUGUAAAGGGCGCGUAGGCGGGAUAGCAAGUCAGGUGUGAAAUCUAUGGGCUCAACCCAUAAACUGCACUUGAAACUGUUGUUCUUGAGUGUCGGAGAGGUAGAUGGAAUUCCUAGUGUAGCGGUGAAAUGCGUAGAUAUUAGGAGGAACACCAGUGGCGAAGGCGAUCUUCUGGACGAUAACUGACGCUGAGGCGCGAAAGCGUGGGGAGCAAACAGGAUUAGAUACCCUGGUAGACCACACUGUAGACGAUGAAUGCUAGGUGUAGGAGGUAUCGACCCCUUUUGUGCCGGAGUCAACACAAUAAGCAUUCCGCCUGGGGAGUACGGCCGCAAGGUUGAAACUCAAAUGAAUUGACGGGG
rnacentral:rRNA from 1 species